GCGGCCGUGGCGAAAUUGGUAGACGCACCACUUUGAGGGGGUGGCGGAGCAAUCCAUAUGAGUUCGACUCUCAUCGGCCGCACCA
rnacentral:tRNA from 2 species